CCUACGGGUGGCAGCAGUGGGGAAUAUUGGACAAUGGGGGCAACCCUGAUCCAGCCAUGCCGCGUGUGUGAAGAAGGCCCUCGGGUUGUAAAGCACUUUCAGUGAGGAAGAACGCCUGGUGGUUAAUACCCAUCAGGAAAGACAUCACUCACAGAAGAAGCACCGGCUAACUCCGUGCCAGCAGCCGCGGUAAUACGGAGGGUGCGAGCGUUAAUCGGAAUUACUGGGCGUAAAGCGCGCGUAGGUGGCUUGAUAAGCCGGUUGUGAAAGCCCCGGGCUCAACCUGGGAACGGCAUCCGGAACUGUCAAGCUAGAGUGCAGGAGAGGAAGGUAGAAUUCCCGGGGUAGCGGUGAAAUGCGUAGAGAUCGGGAGGAAUACCAGUGGCGAAGGCGGCCUUCUGGACUGACACUGACACUGAGGUGCGAAAGCGUGGGUAGCAAACAGGAUUAGAUACCCCGGUAGUC
rnacentral:rRNA from 1 species